rnacentral:rRNA from 1 species
UACGGGGGGAGCAAGCGUUGUUCGGAUUUACUGGGCGUAAAGGGCGCGUAGGCGGUCAGCACAAGUCAGUUGUGAAAUCUCCGGGCUUAACUCGGAAAGGUCAACUGAUACUGUGCGACUAGAGUGCAGAAGGGGCAACUGGAAUUCUCGGUGUAGCGGUGAAAUGCGUAGAUAUCGAGAGGAACACCUGCGGCGAAGGCGGGUUGCUGGGCCGACACUGACGCUGAGUGCGCGAAAGCCAGGGGAGCAAACGGG